rnacentral:rRNA from 1 species
CCCUUAGAUGUCCGGGGCCGCACGCGCGCUACACUGAAGGAAUCAGCGUGGCUUUCUCCCUGACCCGAAAGGGUUGGGAAACCCGUUGAAUCUCCUUCGUGAUAGGGAUUGGGGCUUGAAAUUGUUCCCCAUGAACGAGGAAUUCCCAGUAAGCGCGAGACAUAAGCUCGCGUUGAUUACGUCCCUGCCCUUUGUACACACCGCCCGUCGCUACUACCGAUUGAACGGUUUAGUGAGGGCCUCGGAUUGGUCUCGGCCCGCUCUUUACCGGGCGGCGCCGUUGGUCGAGAAGACGCUCGAACUUGAUCGUUUAGAGGAAGUAAAAGUCGUAACA